rnacentral:rRNA from 1 species
AGAUACCCCACUAUGCUUGACUCCUAACUUGAAGUACUUUACACACACUGUUCGCCUGUGCGCACUACAGAGCACAAGCUUAAAACCCAAAGGACUUGGCGGUGCUUUAGACCCCCCUAGAGGAGCCUGUUCUAGAACCGAUAACCCCCGUUCAACCUCACCCUUUCUUGUCCACCCCGCCUAUAUACCACCGUCGUCAGCUUACCCUCCUGAGGGUCCAACAGUAAGCACAAUUGGCACAGCCCAAAACGUCAGGUCGAGGUGUAGCGUAUGAGAGGGGAAGAAAUGGGCUACAUUCACCCUUUAACGGUGUACCACGAAAGAUGCAGUUGAAACAUUCAUCAGAAGGAGGAUUUAGCAGUAAG